CAACCAGACAGUCCAGAGUUCUGGAAAUAUGACAGACAAAAGCAGUCAGGAUCAGCUGCUGUUUCUCUUUCCAGAGUUCAGUCAACAGAGCCAGGGGCCUGGGCAGUCCGAUGAUGCCUGCUCUGAGCCCACCAACAAGAAGAUGCGCCGCAACCGGUUCAAAUGGGGGCCCGCAUCCCAGCAAAUCUUGUACCAGGCCUACGAUCGGCAAAAGAACCCCAGCAAGGAAGAGAGAGAGGCCUUAGUGGAGGAAUGCAACAGGGCAGAAUGUUUGCAGCGAGGGGUGUCCCCCUCCAAAGCCCACGGCCUGGGCUCCAACUUGGUCACUGAGGUCCGUGUCUACAACUGGUUUGCAAACCGCAGGAAGGAGGAGGCAUUCCGGCAAAAGCUGGCCAUGGACGCCUAUAGCUCCAACCAGACUCACAGCCUGAACCCUCUGCUCUCCCACGGCUCCCCCCACCACCAGCCCAGCUCUUCUCCUCCAAACAAGCUGUCAGGUAAGCAAAGGUUGGGCCUCACUGCCUCAGCAACCCGACCAUCCUGGUUCUCCCCACGGAUCUUAUCUGGUUUAAGGGUUUUCAGAGGAGCAAAUGCUUUGAGAUGAUCCUAGGGCCACUCUCUCGUUGCCAGAAUAUUCCCCUGGAAAUAAUGUGUGGCUCUGAUCAGUUUCCUCCAACUCCUGGCUCAGCCAUUGCCCUGUGAGGGCUCACUCGGCUUCCAGGGAGCCCUUUACCCUAUUUGUCUCCUUCCCUCUUCUUCUCCCUGUGUGGCUGCUGACUCAGCAGUCAUUCUACACUGAGGAGGCUGCCUUAUGGGUGGGCCAGAUCCAAACCGCAGGCAAACGGGUGGUGAUGGCGUGGCAUCCCUCACUGUGUUGGAGGAUAGCACUCCGGCCACCUCCUCCAUCCCUGGCCAUAUCCUGCCCCUCGCUCGGUCCGGCUGCCUCAGGAGAAGCCCAGUGGCCUUUGGGGACGGCCACUCUGUUGGUGGCCUCUGCUUGUUGGCUUCCGUGUGUCAUCAGGGUUGGUGGGGGUCAGUCACUUGAAAUCUUUGCAGCGAUGAGUUGGGCAAAACUGACCGAGUACCUGCUCCAUCAUGCUUGAUUGAGUGCUCCUGUGUGCUGGGCCCUGGCCUGGAUUAGAAUGCCUCUGCUAUGGGCUUUGGGUUUGUCGGGAUGGAAUCCUACAGCCUCCUUGGGGGAAAGCACACCUACAUGCUGAGCACUGUGUUAGGCACAGGCUGGGAUGGAGCACUUCUUCUGGUCCUUCAUUCUUCUGGCAAAGCUGGCUUCCUAGAAUUGAUCUGCUCACUGGGGUCUGUGCGGUGCCCGUGAGGACAAAGUGUAGCAGCCUCUUGCCUGCUCCAAGAAAAGGGCUUGCGAAAGGAAAGCCAAACACUGUUUCUAACUCAGGGGUGAUUCUGAAACCUGUUGCUCCCCUCACCUGUUGGUUGCCCUUCUGAUGAGAAAGGCCUGAGGGCUGGGGGCUGACCCAAGUGUUGAGGGGACCAAAGCCACCAAGACAGGCUCAGAGCCAUCAGCUGGGUGGUGUACAAGCAUUUGUUCCAUGCCUGCUGUGCCCUCCCGUAGCACUGCCUCUUCCAGGGCCUCUGGGAGCCUGAUGGUGCCCAGCAUGAAGCUGGGGCCAGUGCUGGGGGUUUCUGUAGGUCCCGCUCCCACAGAGGAGAAAGGCUCAGCCACACAGGAAGAAAGUCUUGGUUACUUAAGAGGCAGAGAAGCCCUUAGGCAAAGACUGGCCUGAUUGCAGAGUAACUUCGCCCCUUUAGGGAAAUUCAAAGCAGGGUUCUGAGGGUUGUGGCAAAUGGCACGUGGCUGGCACUGAGCAGGACCGGAGCGCUUGCCCACCACAGCGAUCCAUGGCGCUGAAGCUGGGAGCUGCGGGGGGCGUGGUUGGGGCAAGGGACAUUAUGGGGAAGACAAUGGCCAUUGUGCUGGGACCUGUGAUCUCCACACCAAAGUCAGGGAGCCUGGAAGCCAAACAAAGGCCCAGCAGCCUUCUGACAAACUGGGGCUGUGCUGAGGUCACCACGGGGUCGUUGGUUUAGGCAUCCUGUGUGCUGACAGGAGACCCAGAGAGCUAGGGCUGGAGGGACAGGGAGCAGGUGCUGGAAACCUGGCAGGGUGGGCAGAAAACACAGCCUGUGUACUCCUCUGACUGGAGUCUAGGAAGGGCGUGUCCCAUGGGAAGUGGAUACUGUGGGGUGCCCCUGAAGUCUGGAUCUUUCUAAAAAUCUUGUAAUAUUAGAAUUUGGAGGGAAUUUGAAGAAAGGAACUGAGGCCCAGAAAGAGGCAGUGAUUUGCCAAAGUGACACAGAGCAACUGUAGCAAAACAAGGACUAGAGCUCAGGCCUGCUGGUUCCCACUCCAUACUUUCCCACAGCACUACGAUGUGUUGAGUGCUUACCAAGUCCUGGGAAUAUGCUAGUGAUGUACGAGCUGCGCGUCCUGCCCUCUGGGAGCUUACUGUCUGGUAGGAAAGAUAACGGGUCACUGUAGGAAAGGUAACGGGUCACUGUCGAGUCCCCAGAACCAGCUGCAGAUUGAGGUUUUGUUUGGGGGCUUUGUGAAUCUUUCUGUGGUGUAAUAGAUCUUAUUACUGUUUCUGGAGCAACAGUUAUGGGACACUGAAUAUUUCAGUGGCUGCCUUUCUUCUUCUUUUUUUUUUUUUUUGAGAGACAGGGUCUCCCUCUGUCACCCGAGCUAGAGUGCAGUGGUGCAGUCUUGGCUCACUGCAGCGUCGAACUCCUGGUCUCAAGCAGUCCUCCUGCCUUAGCCUCCCAAAGUGCUGGAAUUACAGUUGUGAGAUUGUGCCCAGCCCUUCUGCCUUAAUUUUCACUCUGGGCUCCUCAACAUGGUCCUUGUCCCAAGCCCAGAGACUGGCUUUUCUUUCUCUGAGUGUAGUUGUGUAUCUGGGUUCUAACCAGUGAGGUUAUAACUGUGGCUAAUUCACAUAACUUCUCUGAGUCUGAAUUUCCUGCCUACAAAAUGGAGAAAUAGGACCAUCCACACAGAGUGCGUGUGAGGAUGAAAGGAGUGAAUGUAUAAAGACACCUUUCCCGAUAGCCCAUACUAGCCUCAUUAUGACUCAACAUUAGAGAGGGCUAAACAAGGGCAGUGAAAAGAUGGGCAGGCAGCAGACAUCAUUUUCUUUUUGAUCUCACACACCAGGGCAUUCCCCCUAAGAGGCAGUGAGAUGUGUCCUGGCCCUGGAACUGGAAACAGAGGUGGUUGCUGUGCUAGUGCCUGAGAUGCAGGAUGCUGGGGUCAAAGACUUGUGUCCCCAUCUCAGGCUGCCAGGAUGGCAUGUGUGCCGUGACAGAGCUCCUGAGUAAUGCACGCAGGCAGACAGCGGGCUGGAGCCCAGCAUUCAGGGGUGGCUUCUGUCUGUAGAGCUGCAUGGCACUCUUCCCACCUCAGUGCCCACAGCCGAGGUAUGGUCACUAACCAAGCCAGAAAUGUAACUGUGUGCAGAAUACCGAAAAAA
rnacentral:sRNA from 1 species